GAAGGAUGAUGAUGAUGAUGAUGAUGAUGAUGAUGAUGAUAAUAACAGCAACAAAAACAACAGUAGUGUCAUUAGAAUGCUGUUGUUUUUGAUGACAGUCAUCAUCAUUAUUGUUAUCAUCAUCAUCAUCAUCAUCAUCAUCAUCAUCA
rnacentral:pre_miRNA from 1 species